rnacentral:rRNA from 1 species
AACGAACGCUGGCGGCAUGCCUAACACAUGCAAGUCGAACGAGACCUUCGGGUCUAGUGGCGCACGGGUGCGUAACGCGUGGGAACCUGCCCUUAGGUUCGGAAUAACUCCCCGAAAGGGGUGCUAAUACCGGAUAAUGUCUUCGGACCAAAGAUUUAUCGCCUUUGGAUGGGCCCGCGUUGGAUUAGCUAGUUGGUAGGGUAAAAGCCUACCAAGGCGACGAUCCAUAGCUGGUCUGAGAGGAUGAUCAGCCACACUGGGACUGAGACACGGCCCAGACUCCUACGGGAGGCAGCAGUGGGGAAUAUUGGACAAUGGGGGAAAGCAUGAUCCAGCAAUGCCGCGUGAGUGAUGAAGGCAUUAGGGUUGUAAAGCUCUUUUACCCGGGAUGAUAAUGACAGUACCGGGAGAAUAAGCUCCGGCUAACUCCGUG